rnacentral:tRNA from 1 species
GGGGGUACAGCUCAUCAGUAGAGCAUGAGCUUGGUAUGCACGAUGUCCUGGGUUCAAUCCCCAGUAUCUCUG